ACUACAUGAAGCUGGAAUCGCUAGUAAUCGCGAAUCAGAAUGUCGCGGUGAAUACGUUCCCGGGUCUUGUACACACCGCCCGUCACACCAUGGGAGUCGGAUAUGCCCGAAGUCAGUGACCCAACCAUAUGGAGGGAGCUGCCGAAGGUGGAGCCGAUAACUGGGGUGAAGUCGUAACAAGGUAGC
rnacentral:rRNA from 1 species